UGGCGGAGAUAGCGCGGUGGUCCCACCUGACCCCAUGCCGAACUCAGAAGUGAAACGCCGUAGCGCCGAUGGUAGUGUGGGGCUUCCCCAUGCGA
rnacentral:rRNA from 1 species